CACAGUUUGAGGAGUGAUAGCAGACGACAAAAAGUUUGGCAUUGUGUGUACUUCAUCAUAUUAACCCUCAGAGAUAGAGUCGAGACCAGAACCAAGACUAGACCCCUUGAGGCCCAGACUGAGACCUCAAGACCAUCAAGACCUCUCAAGAAGGCGCGGUGAUGCCGGCCUGUGGCGACUAGGGUUUGGACGCCGCUGAGACCCCCUGGUGAUGAUGUCAUAAUGACUGUGGCUGAUGUCAUGAUGAGCCUGGUUGCUGGUUGGACGCAAAGGCUUGUGUGUGUG